rnacentral:lncRNA from 1 species
ACUCAAAUUUCAGGCGGUUUGAAGCGAAAGAAACGAAGUUUUUCAGGUUUGAAACCGUAGGUUUUAGGUUUGGAUUUAGACUUUUUGGGCUUGAUUUUGUUACAAUCCUCUGUAUUCAAUCAAUUAACUAAAGUAAUUGAAUGAAGAACAAGAACAGAAUUGAUUCAAGAAAGAAAAGAACCAAGAAAAGAGAAGUCUUGAGAGAAUGAAAGAGAAUAAGUCUGUAGAAUUUUGUUCUUUUAU